UUUGGGGCGGUAUAUUUGCGCUACAAAUAAAAACAGUUAUAGUUUAUUUGAUGGUCUCAUUUUACAUGGAUAAGCAUGGUAAUUCUAUGGCUAAUACAUGCGCAAAGGUCACCUCCUUUGGAGGGGCUGUGUUUAUUAAAUACAAAACCAACCCACUUUGUAGUGGAGUCUUGGUGAUUCAUAGUAACCGAACGGAUCGCAGUUGGUUCUUUUGGGCCCGCGAUGGAUCAUUCAAGUUUCUGACCUAUCAGCUUUCGACGGUAGGGUAUUGGCCUACCGUGGCAGUGACGGGUAACGGGGAAUUAGGGUUCAAUUCCGGAGAGGGAGCCUGAGAAACGGCUACCACAUCUAAGGAAGGCAGCAGGCGCGCAAAUUACCCAAUGAAAACAGCUUCGAGGUAGUGACAAAAAAUAACAAUACAGGGCAUUUUAUGCUUUGUAAUUGGAAUGAUGGGAAUGUAAAAACCCCUUCCAGAUUAACAAUUUGGAGGGCAAGUCUUGGUGCCACCAGCCCGCGGUAAUUCCCAGCUCCAAUAAGUGUAAUAUUAAAGUUGUUGCCA
rnacentral:rRNA from 1 species